GGUCAUUCCAUAAAGGUCGGACGUACAUUCGGACACAUUUAUGAGCUGUAUCUCCUUUGAUUUGAUAGCAGUGUUUUAUUUUUUUUUAGUAUAUCACAACACGUUACCUAGGUUAUCAUUACACCAUGACAGGAAUAGGCUGCAAUAUGAAGAAUAGAAAAUAUGGGCAAAAAUGUGAGGGGUCGGACGUACAUCAGACGAAAACAGGUUUUAUGCUUUUAGAGUUCAUGUCAAAAUCUCUGUGAUUUUUGUGAUGCAGGUACUAAAAUUGUAAUAUGAGCUGUUAGCUAAAGGAUGAAUCUUAAAAGAAAUGAAGCAAAGAAAUUGAUAGGCAUUGCCUUGUUUUAGUUACAGGCUGAUCUAUUUGGGGUCGGACGUACACUUUGAAGGGAUCAGUUACACAAAACAUAGACAUUCUAAACUGGAUUUUUUUAAAUAUACAUACUGUUUGGUUAGUUGUCUUUCACAUAAGACGGAAUUAACAAAUGAAUCUGAUGCUGGUGAAGAGUUAUGCUUGAUUAAAGUUGACAUGCAUUCAGGCAGUGUACGUCCGACCCCAUACUGAUUUUUCUCACAGUCAAGCAAAUUGCUCCUCAUAUUUAUUACAAAUGAGUCAGUGGGUUUAAACUGUUUCCAUUUUGAUAUCUACAUUUUUAGAUCACAUCAAUAAUGAAACAACUCAACUAUUCACACAAUGCAGGAUAUUUUUUACUGUUAAACUUCAAGUAAAAUGUAUCUUUUUUAAU